GACGAACGCUGGCGGCGUGCUUAACACAUGCAAGUCGAACGGAAAGGCCCUGCUUGCAGGGUACUCGAGUGGCGAACGGGUGAGUAACACGUGGGUGAUCUGCCCUGCACUUCAGGAUAAGCCUGGGAAACUGGGUCUAAUACCGGAUAGGAGCCAUUUUUAGUGUGAUGGUUGGAAAGUUUUUUCGGUGUAGGAUGAGCUCGCGGCCUAUCAGCUUGUUGGUGGGGUAAUGGCCUACCAAGGCGGCGACGGGUAGCCGGCCUGAGAGGGUGGACGGCCACAUUGGGACUGAGAUACGGCCCAGACUCCUACGGGAGGCAGCAGUGGGGAAUAUUGCACAAUGGGCGCAAGCCUGAUGCAGCGACGCCGCGGGGGGGAUGACGGCCUUCGGGUUGUAAACUCCUUUCGCUAGGGACGAAGCUUUUUGUGACGGUACCUAGAGAAGAAGCACCGGCUAACUACGUG
rnacentral:rRNA from 1 species